UGAGGAAUCUUCCACAAUGGACGAAAGUCUGAUGGAGCAACGCCGCGUGCAGGAUGAAGGCUUUCGGGUCGUAAACUGCUUUUAUUUGGGAAGAUUAUGACGGUACCAAAUGAAUAAGGGUCGGCUAACUACGUGCCAGCAGCCGCGGUAAUACGUAGGACCCAAGCGUUAUCCGGAAUUACUGGGCGUAAAGCGUACGUAGGCGGCGAGUUUAGUGAGAUGUUAAAUCCAAUGGCUCAACCAUUUGGCUGCAUCUCAAACUGACUUGCUGGAGUAUAGGAGAGGUAAGUGGAAUUACCGGUGUAGCAGUGAAAUGCGUAGAUAUCGGUAGGAACACCAAUGGCGAAGGCAGCUUACUGGCCUAUUACUGACGCUGAGGUACGAAAGCGUGGGGAGCGAACAGG
rnacentral:rRNA from 1 species